rnacentral:rRNA from 1 species
AGUGAACGCUGGCGGUAGGCCUAACACAUGCAAGUCGAACGGCAGCACAGUAAGAGCUUGCUCUUACGGGUGGCGAGUGGCGGACGGGUGAGGAAUACAUCGGAAUCUACUUUUUCGUGGGGGAUAACGUAGGGAAACUUACGCUAAUACCGCAUACGACCUACGGGUGAAAGCAGGGGAUCUUCGGACCUUGCGCGAUUGAAUGAGCCGAUGUCGGAUUAGCUAGUUGGCGGGGUAAAGGCCCACCAAGGCGACGAUCCGUAGCUGGUCUGAGAGGAUGAUCAGCCACACUGGAACUGAGACACGGUCCAGACUCCUACGGGAGGCAGCAGUGGGGAAUAUUGGACAAUGGGCGCAAGCCUGAUCCAGCCAUAACGCGUGGGUGAAGAAGGCCUUCGGGUUUUAAAGCCCUUUUGUUGGGAAAGAAAAGCAGCAGGUUAAUACCCCGCUGUUCUGACGGUACCCAAAGAAUAAGCACCGGCUAACUUCGUG